CUCCUGCCACGAUAAAUUUACUUAGAAAUAUCAAACCACCAAAUUUAUGUAACUGGACCCGACUACAAGUCAAAUUUCUUCACAAUAACGUGAUCGUUGCAAUAGUUUUGACUGGUCCAGCGAUUGGUCAAACAGUGCUUAAACCUUUCAUCCCAAUAAUUCCAAAUGAUUUACCUUUUAAUUUCAAAAGAAUUCAAUUUCCUGUUUAGUUAUCUUUUGCCGUAACAAUUAAUAAAUCACAGGGGCAAACAUUUAAACAUAUAGGAAUCGAUUUACGUUCACACGGCCGACUAUUUUUCAUUUGUCGCGUUGUCGAGAUCGGGUUGCUGAGAAAAUCAGUAUGUUCUUCUGCAACAAGAAAAUAAAACUAAAAAUAUAAUUUACGCAGAAAUACUUUAAAAUAUUAUAUUAUUUUAA